rnacentral:rRNA from 1 species
GAUGAACGCUGGCGGCGUGCCUAACACAUGCAAGUCGAACGAAGCAUGACCCAUGAGGCCUUCGGGCGGAAUGGGUCAUGACUUAGUGGCGGACGGGUGAGUAACGCGUGGGUAACCUGCCCUAUACUGGGGGAUAACAGCUAGAAAUGGCUGCUAAUACCGCAUGAGCGCACAGUCCCGCAUGGGACAGUGCGGAAAACUCCGGUGGUAUAGGAUGGACCCGCGUCCGAUCAGCUGGUUGGUGGGGUAACGGCCCACCAAGGCGACGAUCGGUAGCCGACCUGAGAGGGUGACCGGCCACAUUGGGACUGAGACACGGCCCAA